rnacentral:rRNA from 1 species
UACGUAGGGGCCGAGCGUUGUCCGGAGUUAUUGGGCGUAAAGCGCGCGCAGGCGGCCUCGCGCGCCCGACGUGAAAGCCCCCGGCUUAACCGGGGAGGGUCGUUGGGGACGGCGGGGCUUGAGGGCGGGAGAGGUCGGUGGAAUUCCCGGUGUAGUGGUGAAAUGCGUAGAGAUCGGGAGGAACACCUGUGGCGAAAGCGGCUUCCUGGUCCGACACCGACGUUCAGGCACGAAAGCGUGGGGAGCAAACAGG